rnacentral:rRNA from 1 species
UACGUAGGUGGCAAGCGUUGUCCGGAUUUACUGGGCGUAAAGAGCGCGCAGGCGGUCGUUCAAGUCGCGUGUGAAAGCCCCCGGCUCAACUGGGGAGGGUCACGCGAUACUGCUCGACUUGAAGGCAGGAGAGGGAAGCGGAAUUCCCGGUGUAGUGGUGAAAUGCGUAGAUAUCGGGAGGAACACCAGUGGCGAAGGCGGCUUCCUGGCCUGUUCUUGACGCUGAGGCGCGAAAGCUAGGGUAGCAAACGGG